CCUACGGGCGGCAGCAGUAGGGAAUAUUGCUCAAUGGGCGAAACCCUGACGCAGCAACGCCGCGUGGAGGAUGAAGGUUUUAGGAUCGUAAACCUCUUUCGUCAGAGAAGAUCAUGACCGGUUCUAAUGAGCAAUCAAUGGCCAACACCGUCCCAGCAGCCGCGGUAUUACGGAGGGUGCAAGCGUUCCUCGGAAGUACUGGGCGUAAAGAGUACGUAGGCGGUGUAAUAAGUCACACGUGAAAUCCUGGAGUUUAACUACGGAACUGCAUUUGAAACUGUUACUCUGGAGUGUGGGAGAGGAUGGUGGAAUUCUAGGUGUAGGAGUAAAAUCCGUAGAGAUCAGGAGGAAUA
rnacentral:rRNA from 1 species